rnacentral:rRNA from 1 species
GCUUGUCUCAAAGAUUAAGCCAUGCAUGUCUAAGUAUAAACGACUUUAUACUGUGAAACUGCGAAUGGCUCAUUAUAUCAGUUAUAGUUUAUUUGAUGGUCCUUGCUACUUGGAUAACCGUAGUAAUUCUAGAGCUAAUACAUGCAUUAAACCCCGACUUCUGGAAGGGGUGUAUUUAUUAGAUACAAAACCAAUGCCCUUCGGGGCUCCUUGGUGAUUCAUGAUAACUAUACGAAUCGCACGGCCUUGCGCCGGCGAUGGUUCAUUCAAAUUUCUUCCCUAUCAACUUUCGAUGUUUGGGUAUUGGCCAAACAUGGUUGCAACGGGUAACGGAGGGUUAGGGCUCGACCCCGGAGAAGGAGCCUGAGAAACGGCUACUACAUCCAAGGAAGGCAGCAGG